rnacentral:rRNA from 1 species
CGGUGUUUAACUGGCGUGAUGUGGGACGUCCUACCGGUGGGCUUAGCCUCGCGAGGGGCGGCCCAACUAAUAUCCCGUCGCGGUGCUCUUUACUGAGUGUCGAGUCGGGCCGGUACGUUUACUUUGAACAAAUUAGAGUGCUUAAAGCAGGCUAUCCUCGCCUGAAUACUGCGUGCAUGGAAUAAUGGAAUAGGACCUCGGUUCUAUUUUGUUGGUUUUCGGAACCCCGAGGUAAUGAUUAAUAGGGACAGAUGGGGGCAUUCGUAUUGCGACGUUAGAGGUGAAAUUCUUGGAUCGUCGCAAGACGGACAGAAGCGAAAGCAUUUGCCAAAAAUGUUUUCAUUAAUCAAGAACGAAAGUUAGAGGUUCGAAGGCGAUCAGAUACCGCCCUAGUUCUAACCAUAAACGAUGCCAGCUAGCGAUCCGCCGAAGUUCCUCCGAUGACUCGGCGGGCAGCUUCCGGGAAACCAAAGCCUUUGGGUUCCGGGGGAAGUAUGGUUGCAAAGCUGAAACUUAAAGGAAUUGACGGAAGGGCACCACCAGGAGUGGAGCCUGCGGCUUAAUUUGACUCAACACGGGAAACCUCACCAGGCCCAGACACCGGAAGGAUUGACAGAUUGAUAGCUCUUUCUUGAUUCGGUGGGGUGGUGGUGCAUGGCCGUUCUUAGUUGGUGGAGCGAUUUGUCUGGUUAAUUCCGAUAACGAACGAGACUCUAGCCUGCUAAAUAGGCGUACCUUAUGGUAUCGCGAAGGCCCCCGGCUUCGGCCGGUGGGUUUUUACUACCAACGUACAAACAAAUCUUCUAGAGGGACAGGCGG